CGGCUUACAUGUUCCGGUUCGUUUCCGUUUAUUUUUCGAUCGUAUUUACCCGUUUUCGUAUUACCGUUUAUCCCGCUACCGUUUUCGCUCCCGGCUGUUCGGUUUCCGCUCCCGUUUUCGUCUAAAAAUAUGAAAAUGAAAACGAUAGAGUGAUUUUCCGUUCGUUUCCGUCCGUUUUCAACUAUAACCGCGCCUGUCACGUCGUGGGUACGGGCGCCGCGCGUUGGAAGUCUUGCCCUGAUCCGGCGGAGCGGCGUUUGGCGCCCGAGCCCUGGAGGGGUCGGGCGAGACGGAACUUACGCCCAAGGCCCAGGGGGUCGGGCGAGGCGGUGUCUGCGUCCGAGCCCCGGAGGGUCGGGCGAGACGGAACUUUCAUCCGAGGCCAGUGGGGUCGGGCGAGGCGUGUUUUGGGCCCGAGAUCGAGGAAGCAGAUGGGCUGGAGCCCGCGUCCUGGUGAUUAUGGAGGGCUUGCUUUGUCUUUUGCGAUUUUUUAUUGCUCUGAUCUGGGUAUCCCUUUUUAUGGUACCCAACAGUAGCCCCCGAGCCUUUGAAGGGGUGAGGUCACCUCUUCAAAGUUUCUCUUCUAAGGGACCAUUGUUGACCGGAAACUUUUUUUUUUCCUUUUUUCCAGAGGGUGCGCGCGAGCGCACCCGCCGGUUGUAGCCCCCGAGCCUUUUGGAGGAAUGGUGUUAUUCCUUCAAAGGCUUUUUCCCUGAGUGAUACACUCGGGAGUAUUUGAGGGAUAGGUUGCGUGCUCUUUACACGUAGUGCCUGUUCCCAUGGUGCAAGGAAGCCCCCGAGCCCUUUCCUCGCAAGGGUCGAUCAGGUUCUUUCUCGUCUUAGUAAUUACGUCCCUCAUUCAUCCUUUCGCUCGGAGGAGGGGUGGGUCACGC
rnacentral:lncRNA from 1 species